rnacentral:tRNA from 1 species
UCCUUGGUGGCUCAGAGGGUAAAGCGUCUGCCUGCAAUGCAGGAAACCCGGGUUCGAUUCCUGGAUUGGGAA